ensembl:lincRNA
CCACAUAAGCUCAAGCUCCCCUCUCGCUCUGUCAACAGGAGGGAGCCCUGCAUGGGCUCGAGGAUCUCUUGAGCUCAGGGCUCUCUCCCGGGACAGCAUGCCAAACAAGCUUUUGAUAGAUCAUCAGCUGAGUGUGAACUGUUGAAACACAAACAAACAAGCUAACAUGAUGAUCUUACAGGAGGGUUCAUUUCUAUCUGUCACAUAUGUUCUUCUCACUGACGUGUCUGUCUGUCUGUCUCUGUGUGUGUGUGUGUGUGUGUGUGUGUGUGCGUGUGUGUGUGUGUGUGUGUGUGUGUGUGUGUGUGUGUGUGUGUGUGUGUGUGUGUGUGUGUGUUUCCGUGUUUCCGCAGUGGACCUUGAGCUUCUGGAUGUGGCAUCAGUGAGGACUUACAGAGGUUUACACAGCGAGGUCUUCCACUGCACCUGCUCAUCAAUAAUGCUGUUGUUAUGCUGGUUCCUGAAGGCCCAACCGAAGAUCAAUUCCAGGCUCAUUUUGCAAGCAACUUCCUGGGCCACUUCCCGUUGAGCCGCCUCCUGCUGGACAGCCUGGUGCAUUGUGGGAAGGAUGAGUCCUUUUCUCAGCACACGUGGCGUUACAUCGCUAAUGAAGCAUGCGGAUGGAGUAAACCAGCACAGCUUCUGUUCUCUUAUUAUCUGCACUAUGCACUUGUGUCCAGCGGGUGUGCGGUGAUGUACACUGCGGUGGAACCCUUUCUGGUGGACACUGUGAACCUCAGCAUUACUGGACUUGCACAGAGAGCCUUCUCACGCCUCUUCAUCAAGGUCAAUAUUUACUGUUUCAUAAUGUUUUUAUGUUUCGUAAUACAUAAUACACUGUGGCCUCGCAGCAAGAAAGUUGCUGGCUUGAGUCCCGGCUGAGCCAGUUGUCAUUUCUGUGUGGAGUUUGCAUGUUCUCCCCGUGUUGGCGUGGGUUUCCUCCGGGUGCUCUGGUUUCCCCCACAGUCCAAACACAUGCGCUAUAGGGAAAUUGAUCAACUAAACUGGCCGUAGUGUAUGAGUGUGUAUGUGUGAAUGAGUGUAUGGGUGUUUCCUAGUACUGGGUUGCAGCUGGGGGCAUCCACUGUGUAAAGCAUAUGCUAAAAUAGUUGGUGGUUCAUUCCACUGAUUAAUAAGGGACUAAGUCGAAGAAAAGUUUAAUGAAUAAAUAAAUGAAUGAAUGAAUGAAUGAAUGAAUGUGUAAACUCAAAAUUAUUGAAAUGUAAAGUAUGAAUUUUGAUAUUUAGCUGUAAAGUCCAAAUUUAAAGACUUAGAAAUUGCAAUCUGUAAACGUAAAAAUGUUACGCAAUUGAGCUGCAAACUUUCAUUUGUUAGUUUUAAUGUCAAAAUUGCGAGACGUAAAGACAAAAGUGUGAGAGAUGUUAAGUCAAAAUUGCAAGACAUAGUCAAAAUUGUGAAACGUGAAAUCAAAAUUGCCAGAUGUAUAGUUAAGAUGGUAAAACAACAACAAAAUUGUUAGACGUAAUGUUAACAUUGUGGAAUUUAGUCUAAACGGUGAAAUUUAACAUCAAAAUUGUGAGAUGUGAAGUGGAAAUUGUGAGACGUAAAGUCAACAUUGUGAAAGGUAAAGUCAAAACGGUGAGACGUAACAUCAAAACUGCGAUAUAAAGUCAAAAUUGUGAGGUGUAAAGUUUACAUUGUGAAAUGUAAUGUCUAAACAAUGAAACGAGACAAAAUUGUUAGAUGUAAAGUCAACACUGCGAAAUGUAAAGUCUAAGUGGUGAGACGUAAUGUCAAAAUUGCGUCACUUCAUAAUUUUGAGAUAUAAAAUCAAAACUGCAAGC